rnacentral:tRNA from 2 species
UCCCGGGUUGUGUAAGCGGUUAACACGCCAGAUUUUGGUUCUGGAAAUAGGGGUUCGAGUCCUCUCCCGGGAG